rnacentral:rRNA from 1 species
GGGAAUAUACCUAUCGAUUCGGAACAACUGAGGGAAACUUCAGCUAAUACCGAAUACGUCCUAAACGGAGAAAGAUUUAUCGUCGAUAGAUUAGCCCGCGUUCGAUUAGCUAGUUGUGGGGUAACGGCCCACCAAGGCGACGAUCGAUAGCUGUUCUGAGAGGAAGAUCAGCCACACUGGGACUGAGACACGGCCCAGACUCCUACGGGAGGCAGCAGUUGGGAAUCUUGGACAAUGGGGGAAACCCUGAUCCAGCCAUGCCGCGUGAGUGAUGAAGGCCUUCGGGUUGUAAAACUCUUUCGCGCACGACGAUAAUGACGGUAGUGCGAGAAGAAGCUCCGGCUAACUUCGUG